rnacentral:miRNA from 1 species
CUUAAGGUGGGUUUGGAUGGGCGA